rnacentral:tRNA from 1 species
GGGCACUUAGCUCAGCGGUAGAGCACUACCUUGACAUGGUAGGGGUCACAGGUUCGAUCCCUGUAGUGCCCA